GCGUGUAGCAGUGAAAUGCGUAGAUAUGCGGAGGAACACCGAUGGCGAAGGCAAUCCCCUGGACCUGUACUGACGCUCAUGCACGAAAGCGUGGGGAGCAUACAGGAUUAGAUACCCUGGUAGUCCACGCCCUAAACGAUGUCAACUAGCUGUUGGGGCCUUCGGGCUUUAGUAGCACAGCUAACGCGUGAAGUUGACCGCCUGGGGAGUACGGUCGCAAGAUUAAAACUCAAAGGAAUUGACGGGGACCCGCACAAGCGGUGGAUGAUGUGGAUUAAUUCGAUGCAACGCGAAAAACCUUACCUACCCUUGACAUGUCUGGAAUCCCGAAGAGAUUUGGGAGUGCUCGCAAGAGAACUGGAACACAGGUGCUGCAUGGCUGUCGUCAGCU
rnacentral:rRNA from 1 species